rnacentral:lncRNA from 1 species
UGAAGCCCUGAUUAUGUGUUUACAGAAAAGAAAAAGAAGAAAAGAAGAGCCAGGAGGAUAGGUUGUUCAGUUUACUACCGGAGACCUGACUGUGACAGACCACCAAGAAAACAAAAUUUUCAAAGAGAGUAGAGAAGACCUUCUGCAGCACCUGCAAGUCUGUCCUUUUUUCUUCAGAGUUACGUAGGAUAACUUAGCCAGAACUUAUUGAUGUCUGCAUGUUCAGUGGACUCGGGAAUGGACUGGGAGAUGCGGAAACGUACUCUUUGGAAGGAACAGGAGAGGAGGCAUUUCAAAGAUCCUGCAGGUGACAAAGGUGAUGAUCUGCUGACAGAAUAAAUAAAUCAUAGAAAGUGCCAAGACUACACAGGCAUUUGCUGUGGUAUCACCCACAUGAGGAACUUUCAUCAUAGUCUUUCUUCAAGUAUGUUCUCUCCUGUGGGUUCAUUAUUUUUCAGAGGAUGGGUCUUUCUGCCCUGCAGGGAUCUAUCUAUCACUGCUGACUCUCUGCAUCUUCUCCACAUGGAAGAAGUAAUUGGAUUGUAUUUUCUGCACACGACCAAGACAGCAGGGAAACCCACAGCUGUAAGCCAGAGAACUAAGCUGUCUCGAGAAGGCUGGGCUUGGGCCUGGGCUUUACCAGCAUGCCUAAUAAUGUCAUCAGGACUAAGGACAUGAGGAGGAUGAGGUGUCCUGUACCCAGCAGUGACACAUGCCAGUACAAACCAAAAUUGACUGGACCUCAGACAAAGGAGAAGAAGGGAAGUUGUUGAGGUCCCCACACAGAUGUCCGAUUACAAUUCCACCAAGGUGCAUUUGAAACUGUGUCACAGCUCAGCCUCUUCUCCCCAGUGCCCGUGGAGGCAGCUUCCAGCAUGACACAUCACAUCUUUGACUCACCAGGUAAGGCUGGGAUAUCAGUAUAAAAAUUGGGCAAAUAUUGACUUCUUUUGGCACACAGAAACUUUGUUGUACCUAUGAGGCAAUAUAUUUAUGGAAUGUUCAGCUUACACAUGAUUAUGGGCUGGAAUGAGUAGUUUUUUGAAGGAUGAUGCUGAAGAAAGUGAUGUCAGAUACUGUCAGUGCUGGGGUUUAGAAAACUGACUGCUAAUCUAGUGUUUUCCAAUAAGUCACCCUGAUUUAGAGAACAGAAUAAAAGUUGUCUCCAAAAGUAAGUGAAAUGAACU